UACGAAAGGGGCAAGCGUUGUUCGGAAUUAUUGGGCGUAAAGGGGGUCUAGGCGGACCGUUAAGUUACUUGUAAAAGCACGGAGCUCAACUCCGUGAAGCAGGUGAUACUGGCGGACUAGCGUACGUGAGAUGUGAACGGAAUAAUAGGUGUAGCGGUAAAAUGCGUAGAUAUCUAUUAGAACACCGGAGGCGAAGGCGGUUCACAUGCGCGCAACUGACGCUGAAGCCCGAAAGCGUGGGGAGCAAACAGGAUGAGAUACCCUGGUAGUCCACGUUGUAAACGAUGUAUGCUAGACGUUGGAGGAAUCAACCCCUUCGGUGUCACAGUAAACACGAUAAGCAUACCGCCUGGGGAGUACGCUCGCAAGAGUGAA
rnacentral:rRNA from 1 species